rnacentral:rRNA from 1 species
CCUACGGGAGGCAGCAGUGAGGAAUAUUGGUCAAUGGACGAGAGUCUGAACCAGCCAAGUAGCGUGAAGGAUGACUGCCCUAUGGGUUGUAAACUUCUUUUAUAAAGGAAUAAAACGAGGCACGUGUGCCUUUUUGCAUGUACUUUAUGAAUAAGGAUCGGCUAACUCCGUACCAGCAGCCGCGGUAAUACGGAGGAACCGAGCGUUAUCCGGAUUUAUUGGGUUUAAAGGGAGCGUAGAUGGGUUGUUAAGUCAGUUGUGAAAGUUUGCGGCUCAACCGUAAAAUUGCAAUUGAUACUGGCAGUCUUGAGUACAGUUGAGGUAGGCGGAAUUCGUGGUGUAGCGGUGAAAUGCUUAGAUAUCACGAAGAACCCCGAUUGCGAAGGCAGCUUACUAAACUGUGACUGACAUUGAUGCUCGAAAGUGUGGGUAGCAAACAGGAUUAGAUACCCCUGUAGUC